GCACUAUUUCUUGUAAUUUUUAUUUCUGCCUUCCCCGUAUUGCUUUUAAUAAAGGACAUGGUAAUGAGGCCUGAAUGGCAUUUAUUAUCCAGACAGUGUAUCAUGGCCAGUUACCCUGAUGGAUUGGUAAGAACAUGCCUUGGCUCCAUACCAUUACGCAGUCCUUAUAUAGGGAUUUUUUUUCUUAAGUAAGGACUGAAAUGUGACACCAUGCAAGUCUUUCAGACUUACCUCGUAAGGAGCAUGCGCUGCUUGUGCACACUCCAGAGGAGACUGUCUUCCACCAAGAUCCCUUUGCUCAGAUUUCACAUGCGGCAGUUUUCCUCAGUUAUUUUUCACUGACACUUAUUACGGUGGUUGAGGAUCCAGGCUGUGACUGCAGGCUGAAUGCCAAAGUUCCCGUUAAAGCCAGCUAUAGUUUUGCCUGAAUAAGGACCAGAGGACCUAGCCAGAUCUUGUAGGAUAAAAGGUUGUUCCAUGAUUAGUGACCUUCAAAGGCAGUACUUCAGCUCGUUUCUUCAGCCUAGUCUGCUGUUAGAGGGAGACCGUCUUCUCAAUGACCUGACCUCGUCAUGUGUAGGGGAUCACUCACCUCUUAACUGUGAUUGCUCCAAGGCUGCAGGAAAAUUACAUUUUUUGAGAACUUCAUCCCAAAGGCCUGAGCAAUGUUGAGGCACAGAUCUCAGCUAUAUCAUGUUCCCAACACUCUCUCUUUGGAAGCCUGAAGAAAGAAAUGUGCUUGCAGCAUGACGGACAGAAAAACUGGUUCAGGCAAGUCAGAAGCUGUGGAAGAAAUGGAAAGAGAGAAUUGGAGCCAGAAAGUCUCAAAGAGGACAUUUUUUGCUGAUUUUUUUUGGAUGACUGCAUCAGUUUUGAGCACCUCGGAAAAAGCAAUUUGUUUUUCACUCCUGGCAUAUCGUGUUUGUUCAAAUAGAGCCAUUAAAAGUGUGGGCAUAAUAGUUCGUGAGGCAGCUUGUGACCCAUACCACUUUCUCUUGCCUUCUUCACCCUAGUUAAACUUUAAAAGCUUCCCACAUUAUUCUCAAGUGCUUCUUGCAGGGCAACAGUUUGUUUUCAUUGAACUUGGAAUGGAAAACGUGGACAAGUUCUGCAAACUCUUUUGAGAACAGAGAAAUGGGAAAAUGAAGAACAAUAUUUCUCUCUGUAUCAAGAACAGCUGUCACACUAUGCCAAGCACACUAAUGAAAAAAUUAGUAAUAAACAGUUAGCGGUGUAUCUUCAAGAGAAGUGUAACCAACUUACGUGUAGAAAAUAAAGAACUACAAACUAAUGAAGAAAAAUAUAUAGUGUUACAUCCAAACCAGUCAAGCUGUGCAGGGAAAGAAAGGCUAUCCAUUUCUGUCCUGUAAGCCAUGGCACUUUCAUUUGUAAAUUUUCCCUGCUUUUCUCUAUUUUUUAAAAUUGUCUCAUCUAGGCAGCUGGGUCUCUUUUAAGUGAUAGAAACUACCUAAAUGUCAAGAACAUGCUUCAGAAUAAGGAGAUUUAUGCUUAUGACUGUCUCUUUUCCAUAUCUAGUAUGCUAUUUAUCUAGAGUUGUGAUCAUGGAAUCAUAGAAUGGCCUGGGUUGAAAAGGACCACAGUGAUCAUGUAGUUUCAACCCCCCUGCUAUGUGCAGGGUCGCCAACCACCAGACCAGGCUGCCCAGAGCCACAUCCAGCCUGGCCUUGAAUGCCUCCAGGGAUGGGGCGUCCACAACCUCCUUGGGCAACCUGUUCCAGUGCGUCACCACCCUCUGGGUGAAAAACUUCCUCCUAAUAUCUAACCUAAACCUCCCCUGUCUCAGUUUAAAACCAUUCCCCCUUGUCCUAUCACUAUCCACCCUUGUAAACAGCCGUUCCCCCUCCUGGAGGUAUUAUGGUUUCUUGCUGGAUCCAGGUAUUUUAUAUUGAUGUUAGAAGCUGUGGCUACAGAGCUGCCAGCUUAGCUAUAAACAGUAUCUGAUCAGGUGAGUUAGUGAACUGUAAGGUCAGAGGCCAUAGUAUUACCUUGUCUGCCCUGCUACCAUUUUGUCUAUCAGCCAUUAUACAGUGCAGCCUGGCUUAGCCACAUCAUUGACCUCAGCUUCAUUAAAUGGCACUGUUUUCUUGCCUGAUGUAGAAGGCUCUCAUAACAAAGUUAAAAACUGCCAUUGAUAGUUUUUUGAGUUACUCUUUUUAUUCAGGGCAAAGCAAGUAGAAUCUCCUUCAGUUUCUCUGUAAUUUUCACUUCUUCUGUUAUGUUUUAACAUUUUCUCUAUCCUCUUCUGGCUUGAGCUGGUUAGGGAAUCAGAGCUUCAUGCUUGCUAAUGUAAUGAAUGCAUGUUUGACACUGUAUUGCAGCCUUUCUGUGGAAUUUGAUUCUGACAUAAGCUGGUGGGACAGGCUGUCAUUUGUCACUCUUAUGAUGUUUUCCUUGUGAAUGAGUUCUUUGGUAUCCUUUUGCCCAAAGGACAGUCAGACACUCUUCUCUCACCUGCUCUGUUUUCUUCCAGUGCUUAUUGUUCUGCUUGUGCUAAUGCAGAGAGACAGUUGCUAUCCUUUAGAAAUUUACAAUAGGCAUUAACCUAAGGCACUGACACAAGUAUUUUUGUGAUUCAAAGUAGACAUUAAACAGCUGAAGUAGGAGGGGGGUGGCCAUACCUAUGAAUGAAGCUGGUGCACUGUGGAAACCUUAGCUAAUUACUUCUGGAUGAAGAAACCUUCAAGGUCCGCUGGCUAAGAUAUUGGAGGCUGUUACCUGAGCAGUUCCCUGGCCCCGGGCAAUGAGCUAGCACAGCUUCCAGCCUGUGCCAGACCAUUAGCUGCAAGCUACUAAUAUGACACAUCCCUCAUGACUUGUCCUCUAAAGCCAGCACUGGAUUCAGUCCCAGAUCCAAGCUCCUACGUCAUGUGGCUUUUUCAGAUUUUCAGUUUUGUUUUUUUUAAUUAGAAACAAACCAGCACAUGCUAAAGCCUAACCAUUCCUUCCUGCUUAAAAAAAACUGAAACAAACAAACAAACAAACAAAGCCACUGCUGAUACAGCAGUGCUUGCUUUGGUAUACAGCAGUACUGGUGAGAGGCGUGACCAAACCGGAAGCCUCACUGUGGUGCUGAUGCUAUGGCAUCAGCCAUAUGAUCUGUGAUCUGCAAAGCUCUUCCAAAAGCACUUCUUGAGAAGGCUGUAUGAGAAAGAUACAGCAGGCCCAAGUGCAAGCUUUUGUAGAAAUACCUCCACAGGCCUGGAAAAGUGUUGCCAUAAAUAAAGAGCAUAAAGAGUUUCCUUGGCUGGAAUGGGAGAGUGACUGCUGACAUCACUUAACUUGGAGGUGGUGAACAUGUGAUUAAGAUUUUCUGUCUUCUAAUCAUGGCCUUGCCUGUCCUAUUACUGUUUACCCAAGAUGAACACCUUGAGCUGAAAUUUGAGGUCCAGAUCCCAGUCCCACCACAGCAUCUCUUAGCACCACAAGCUGUAGGACUUGUAGUUUAAAGAUCAGCACUGUUGGCUUCUGGCUGAUACAGCAAACACUUAUUCCUCUCUGCUCAUUUAAGGUAGCACAAAGCUAUUUUAAGCAGGCACAAGCCUUGUGCAGGAAAGCUCACACAACUCUGACAACUCCAAAGCCGGGGAAGGGCAGCUGAGAUAAGUGAAUGCAAAGGAUCUACAUCUCAAACAGCUCUAAACCACCAUGGCUUUUAAUCCCCUGGUGUAAUGAGAGUGUCAGUAGGCUCCUUCCUCUAAGUGGAGUGCUACUGGGAGCACCAUGCUGGGUCAAGCCAUUAGUCAUGGGCAUCUGUGGAAAGCAGGCCCACAUGUGCCUUGGGGUGUGCUGGAGCAGGUCAGUGGAGGAGGACAGGAGGUACUCACUGGGCUGCAGGACAGGCCAAGGUGAGCCUGGCCAAUACAGCCUGCAGCCACCUUGACUGCUGCUGUGUUGGAGCACCACAGCUGCCCUUGGGAUUUGUUGUUUGACUGUUAACCCCUCUAAAAUAAAUUGUUUUUUAAAGAAAGAAUAUCUGCCCCAGUCUGCAGGGUUCACUCAGUCUUUUCCCUUUGAAAACUGUGGCUUAAUAAAUCUCCCAGUAGUGAAACAAAGAACGUGGAACUAUAUAUAUAUGCUGGCUUCAUUUGAAGAUCUGUCACACACACCAUGCUUCUAACAGUCCAACCAUUUCAACAAAUAGUUUUUUUGUUUGUUUGUUUGUUUUGGGCGGGAAGGGAAGGAGUUCUGUUAACCUGUCUUAGCAAACCAGUAAAAUCCAUUCUACAGACUCCUUCAUACUACAUAAAGGUGCCUCCCACAGAGGUUGUACUUAGCCCACCUCCUCCAUGGAGAGGCAUUCCCACCUGACCAUGCUAUAUCUUCUUAACUCUAGGAGAGCCCAUCAUCUUCUGUAUGGGUAGCAGGUGGCAACAGGUGUUUCAACUGCAGUAACUCAAUUGUUAAGUAUGGAAACAGCUGGGCCUGCUUAUGGUCCUUCUGUUAUUAGCUGUUUGUUGCCAUUCCUUAGCAACCAUCUGCAGUUAAACCUGUGGCUGAGCUGAUGGGGGAAGCUUGGAAGAGCCCUUUGGAUGCUUUUCUCUAGUAAGUGAAGCUAACCUAGUUGAGUUGGGAUGGGAAAUAGCUUCUGUAAUUUAUCUUACCAACUCUGUUGUGUUAUGGACUUCAGCAGAGGUGUAAUGUUGGGCAUGCAAGUAAUGUUUUAACCUUGUACAGCUGUUUCUGCAACAAGUGAUGGUGAGCUACAAAGGGAAAGAAUUUGAUCUACAUGUUAUUCCAGCCUUUUCUAAAUGUACUUAUGUUGCUCUUUAAUCUUCCUUUGGAUUUUCUGGUACCUGGGAUCCUUUGAAGUUCAAUUAUAUUGGCUUAUACUCAGAAACUGAUUGACUGUACUGUUCUUAGCACCAUGGUGGUUUUUCCACCCAGGAUGGUUGUUCCAAAUGCUGGCACUGUUUUAAUUUUACUUAAUCAGAUUUACUAAGCUGUCUAAGCUUACAGUCUAAAACUUUUCUAUUUAAAUGUGUCUAUUAACUGUUGUCCGCAUCCCCUGAAGGAGGGAGCAGGCUGCCACUAUAUUUGCUUUCUGCCUCUGUAGCCCCCUAGAGCCAUCCACUGGGCUGAUGUUGUAGGAUAGAGAGUGCUGUAAGGAAUUAACCCCCUCAUGAGCCUCUCUGUGUCAGCAGGACAUCUCAUUGUUUCUGGUUGCCCAUUGGUCAGAGAAAGGACCUCAACAGCUUGCUUAGUGGAAGCUCUCAGCUUGGCUGUAGAGUGCAUCUGAGCUCUGUGUUAUUCAUGUCUUGAACAGCAUGAACUUUGAGCUGCUUGGUGAGCGCCAGGACAAGAGAGUGGGAUAGACUCCCAGUCUUUAGAUGCACUGCUAUUGCGGAAGUGAGCAGUCCAGUCCCAAUAACCAAGCAUCUACUGCUGCCCUGUUUUAAAUGAUAUUUCAGAAAAUAAUAUCAACCUCUGAAAAGUUAAUCUUCAGUUUGUGUUUGCAGUCUACCAAGUGCUUUGGUGUUUAGGUAUCCAGGUUAUCAUCUCAUGCAUGUAUAUUUCAGUGCCACUUCACGUAUAUAUGUGUGUGUAUAUAUAUAUAUAUAUUUUUUUCUCUUGCUAUUUAUAUCUAGGUACAAGCUUCCUGUAAUAUUAUUCACUUUUUUAUAAAAAAGUCUUUUUUUUUUUCUUUGUGGCAGUUUUCACAGUUUUUACAGCUGCUACUUUGUUUGGGUCAGGCUGUAAUCUUUCUUUAGAAACCCAGUCUCAGAAGUUAUGGGCCUAUCAAAAACCGGCAGUUUAAUUUUAUAGACACACCUGUGAAUUUAAUUCUCUGUCUGAAACUUCUUUUAAGUCCUUAAAGGGUCAUUCCAAACUCAAGAGAGAAAGCUAUGAUUGCGUCGUCUCAGUAAACUGCAUGCUAUAUUGACAUACUGAACCUGGCAGCUGAAUGUUCAUUAAUCCUGAAACCUUGCCAAGUCACUUGUAAUUCCAAAAGGCACUACAUUUAAAAUAAAAAGUUCCCUUUAUGAUGAAAUCCCACUUCCUUAAAAUGGAUGAUGGCAAUAAGAAAUAAAAUACAUUUGUAACUGCUAACACCUGCUAGUAAGAUCAAGGGUAGUUAAGUAUUCCUAAUUGAAAGAAGCUUCAGUGAACUGUAAAUUCAAGUUCUAGGAUAUUUUUCCCCUCUGUCUUCCCCCACUUUAUUUUUGUUAUCAUUUUAAAUUUAAACCUAAAGACUAAACUGAAGUUUAGGAUUGAAGCUACAUAAAUUAGCUCUAUUCUCCUGAUGGCUACGCCAAAGGAAGAAGGAUUUUUUUUAACUGCAGCAAACCUGACGUCUAGUGUAGCCUUACAGCUCUGCUUUUAAGGAUAAUGCAUUUGGGACUAUGAUUAUUACAUGUUGCACGUAAACAAUAGGAAGAAAUACUGCUCUUAACCCCAAAAACUUUUCUGCUUCAUUUAGUAAGGUGAGGAAGAUGACCUUGAAACAUACAAAGUAACUGUAAAAUCCGCACCCUUCACAGACUGUGUCUUAAGUCAAACUUUAAAUUUAUCAAAGUUCACAAGCAGGAUGUAAAAGAACAAAAUACAGAAAGAAAGUAUGUUUGUCAACACAGGCAGCUCAUAAAUGUAGCAUGGCCGUGACCAGGUACAGUAAGUCUCUUGAUCGUUGUUUAAAUUGUGACUAAAAUGUUUUUGUUUUACAAUGGAGUGAAAUACUGUAGGUCUCUUACUGUGUGCUCCUUUUAAGCAAAAGCAUUUACAAGCCAUGGCCAAGUCUAUUUGAAGAACUGAUAGCUUGACUAAAUAAAAAUACCUGAGAUCUCUAGACUCUCUAUUCUUUUGGAUAUUCACCGCAAUUUUGUAAUUUUUAGCAAUUUAGGGAAGGUAAAAUUGCCACUCUAUUGAAGCCAAUGUGAGUUCUGACAUUUAUUGAAGUAAGGCCAGUAUUUUUCAGGGAGUACAUUACCAGAGGUGCUCUGUUCUUAUGGCUGGCAGAUAGUCUGCAUUCUUAUCAGAACCUGUUACAUGCUCAUCUGAAUCUGCUGAAGUCUUUCUUUCGCUUAACAUGAUGCAUAUCUACUCUGCUCUUUGGUAAUUUGGUGGGAAGUGUGUGGUGGUAUUUCUUAUUUUUUUUUUUUUUCUUAAUGUGUUAGAAAAAGCUGUAAAACCAAAGAGGGAGAGUUGAGUUGAUCAGAUGUGCGGUUUGGAAAGCCUGAGUGCCAAUUUGCCUAAACACUUAGGUUUGCUUAAGAUGGGAGGGCGUGAGUGACCAUCAGAAGGGCAGUUGUCUUGCCGUAGACAAGCCCUGCACUCAGGGAGCUCAGCUAGAUAAGAACUACUUAGAGACAUCACUAGGGGGAACAAAUCUUGCCUGUAGUGACAAGGAAGCAGCUUUUAACAUGGAACAACGUGUGUACUGUGGCAGUUAUGCAGUGGAUGCUUAACCCAGGCACUUUAGUUUUACUAGAAGGUAAAUUAGCCCAGGUCAAAUAACUGUGCUGACUUUGCCUGGUUGUUAGUAAAAUCUGCCAGCACUUGUGGCAUGUUGUGCUUUGUAGCAAGGUAAGCAAAAAAUAAAUGGGAUGGCUAAAUAAAAAAAAAAACUAACAUCCUCUUUGAACUCCAUGCCUUCGUGAUAGAGAGUAACCUCAGUCCUGAAAACCAGGGAGACAGGUUAUUCUGGUGGCCUCAAUAAAUAACUCUCUUUAUAUUCUCUGUAAUUGAAUCUUGUCUUUCUCUCCUCACAUCUCUCAUCUCAGAGACAACAUGAGGCUAAGAGGGGGGGGGGGGGAAGAAAUGCAAAGGGACAGAGGAGAGAUACAGAAAGCAUGACUAAUAUAAAAUACCCUGAAAAGCACUGAAGUGUUCAGGUUUCUUCUGUCUUGUUUAUAUAUCUUAACAUUGUUUUCCAUUUAUUCUUUGGCUCUGUAGAAUAAUCGCUCAAUACUUUUCAAAUAUUAAUGGUUUUAAUAGGUUAAAUCUGUGGCUACAUCUUUGUAACCUAAAAAAGCUGUGUAGUGUGUAAUCCGGAGCAUUAGGAUUUCUAUUCUUACUGUGUUGGCAAGAGAGAAUAUGACAACAAGGGAAACAAUUCUAAGAGCAUGCAUACAAAAUCCAGGAAAGACUCGUGAGUCUUCUGACUCAGAAUAAAAUGAAUUUAUAAUGAAACAGCCUUCACAAAAGGGAGCCUUUGAUUCUUCACUGGAUGUUAUUUUCUAGAGGUAUUUGACAGUGUUGCUCAUAUCUCGGAAUCUAGAGAACAAAGAGAAAUGAUUUUCAUUUAUUUCCUGCUAAAACAUUCCCUUGAUAUUUGAGUUUAGUUUUGGUAAUACUCUAAUAGGUUGCAGUUAUAUACAGCUUCCCAUUUUAAAGCUGGAGUUUCAAAUGCCUGCUGCACUAAACCUCACGUACCUUUAUGGUGUUGAGCAACAGCCUUGAAUCACAGGAAUGAAAACUGAGACGCCGAAUGUGAUUUUGUUUUUUUCCUUUUUUCUUGAUAUUGCACAGUACAUGCAGUUGAGGAGAUAAUCCAAUAGAUUUCAUCCUGGCUUUUUUUUCCCCCUUCUUUGUCGCUGUAAAGCUGGAUACCCACUUGAUUUACUGUGAUCCCCUCUGCCUGGGUAGAUCUUAUUAUUUCCCAGGAGUCUACAGUACAAAAUGUCGGUGAAGAGCAGCAGUGCAAAAAUAUGAAUGUGUCUGGACAGAAUAUGGCACAGAGAUCGAGGUUUUGACAGAGAUGCAUGGGGGAUCUUGCUAUAGCAGUUCAGGGAGGUACUUGAGCUGAAAAAGGUUAGAAUUUGAUAUUUUUAGGGAAAUGUUACGUGUUUGUUUUUGUUCUGCCAUUGCUCUCUAGGCGUACUCCUUUAGACUUUCAGAGGUGGUAUUAAGGCCUAGCUGGACCUCUAGUCAGAGCCAGCAUGAUGGCUUUUGCUGUCUUUCCUUCCCUGCUGGAGGUGGGAGGAUUUACCCUUGCCUCAGUUGUUCCUGUGCAAACAACAUGGAACAAGAUCAGCACUGCCAUUUUUAGGGCUGGUGGCUAAGGCACAUGCACAUGGCCGUAUCAAUAGACUGCUGCAGAAAAGGCAGCUUCUGGCAAAGGGAGUAGUUAGCUGGGAUAAUAACAUCUGGAAAAAAAUAAAAUGCUCUGUAACAAAGGAACUUAGAGUUGAAAAAGAUUGUUUUUAAAAAUAUGAAUUUGGGGGUGAAUUGUUUCAUUUUAUAUCUGCAAACACAAAGCCCUGAAAAUUUUCACUUUUCCUUUGUACCAUCUUGAGAUACGAGACACUAAUCAGUUUCUAAGUGUAGUUGUUACUGUAUGUUUGCAUGCUGUGAGCUGCAUUCCCUUCUAGUUAAAAUCAAUGUGAUUGGCUUAUGAAGGCAGUUUCUGAGAACUGUAGCACUGAGCAGAGGACAGGAACAAACUUCUGUAAACUUUGCUUCAAUUACCUGUUAUGCAGGCAUUUAAUGAUGCUUUCUGAAUUGCUGCUUCCUCGCCUAUAGAACUGCCCACCAAAUCCCUAUUAUGUGUGCAUAUUAUUAGACUCUAAAUGAAUAACUUGUGUAUAUACUAUGCUUUUGUCUUCCCUGUUCUAUACCUAUAAAUGCCUACCAAGUGUAUUUCUGAAAAGACAAUAAAUUGUUUUGUGUGAAGACCAAUACAAGCAGGCAGAGGAAGGGUAAAACAAUAGUUUCUAGCACAGUUUCCUUCUGUGUCAUUGACCACAUUUAUCUUAGCAGGAGGAAUCAUUUUAGUCUUUUGUGUACAGAUAAAAGUGGUAGGACUGAAAGACAAAGCUUUAUCCACAGUAUCUUGAAGGUACUGUUCUAGAAUAUUGCACUAGAUUUAAUAACGUAUAGGAUAGGACACACAAAUGUCUGUCUAAUCUUCUUUUUGUUAGUUUUACUCUUAAUGAUAUCUGAAGUGGAGUUAUCCUUUUCUAAGGCUUUGCAGAGAUGCUUCCCUAUUUUUACACUGAUGCUCUGCUGCAGCACAAGAGGACCAUUGAAUUGAAGGAUUAACAAGAGCUGCUAGUUAGGUCUUACAGGUGGGUUUUUUUUUCUGUCAAGGUAAACAUGAACUUUCAUGGGAAUAUAUUGGUUCCAGCAAAUAACAUUUAUAUGGCAGAAGCUAGAAGAAGGAUUUGGCUAUUAGUUGAUGAGGCUGACAGAGAUUUGUUUACCAUUUACUGGUUCUGUUUUAUUCCUUCAAAAUAACGUGGGGGGGCGAGGCUGGGGAAACACAGAAGUACUAAUUCUAAUGAUUUUGCUUUGGUUGCCUUCAAGGCAGACCCUGUUCAUCUCUGUUUUCAUGGUGCCCAUGGACUUGUAAUGUGGUGGCUGCCUCGUAGCUGAACUAGGGUGUUACUGAGUCAUGGGCUAAAAAGGGAUUUCAUUGCAGGUGUGAGACAGCAAUGUUCAUUCAGUGAACAAAAAGUCUACUUAAACAGUUUAACUGUAUUUCAGCUGACCUCUGGAAGUACUCUUGCUCCUCCACUUGCUGUCUUCAGUUUCCUGAAAUUCUGAAUUCAGUAAAAUCCCCUUCAGCAGUUUGUCUUUUUCCCGUCUUGUACAGUUUGAUUCUCUUAUUAAUGAGAAAGAAGUCACUUAAGUCACUUUGCAUUGUUAAUUCCUUCAUUUUUUGUGACUCUUCAAUUGACUGAAUAAUGAGAACCCAUUGUACUCUUCACAGUUACUCUGGUUAAUAAUAGUCCUAAUAGUUUUAUGGAAAAAAUAUAUAUAUAUUCACCUCCACUGCUCCCUUCCCUCUCUCCUCAUCACCCCUCUCCCCCCACUUUUUUUUUCCUUAACAUUGGGAUGGCAGGGGAAGAAAUGUGUCACUACUGUCCUGGUAAUGUAACGUACCAAGAGCUUAUGAACAUCAGCUUUAAUUACUUUGUGGCAUCCUGCAACAAAUAGUAAUUAACUGUAUUUAAGUUUUCCACUUUUUUUCACUGCUUCUACUCAUCAUGAGACCCCACAGGCACCAUAGCUGUUUGUGGGUCUAAUAUAGACCUGGAAAGUGUGCACAUUGAUAUACAACAUUUUAUUUUAUUAUGUAUUACAGAUAUGUAUGCAGUAUGCUAGUCUGAUUGCAUCAUCUCUGAUGGUAUCAUAGAUAACCUAAAGCUUGGGAUAGGGAACUACUUGAGUACUGGACCAGACUAGGAUCAUGCAAGUGUCAGAAGAUGCAGAACUUACUAGAAUAUAGCGGAUAGAAGGUGGGGACUAUAGCCAAUUUCUCCUCUUGUUCUUUUCUCACCUCAUAGUUGUGUUCAGAAGUGUAUAUAUGAUUUUAAGGAAAUGGUAGGUAAUGUAUUUACCUUUGUUAUGGGUGUGAAAUCAUGGUCAAGCACCAAGUCAAUACCACAUAGGUUUGAUCAAAAUUCCUUUCUUAGUCUUCAGGUUUGUCAGGAAUACCUAAAAUUUAUCCAAAUAAUAGUUUAUAUGCUAUUUGGCCUGGGUUUUUGGAAAGCUUUGCAAAUGUUUUCUGUAAAUUGAAAUAGCUAGUUUUCUCUUACUUUGACAUUUUUGCUUUGGCAGUUUCAUGCUAUGGUCAUGUCUUCUGUUCUGAUUUUUGUCCUGCCAGACAAGUUUAAAGUGCAAAGAAGAUUAAUAGCUUUUGUGGCCCUCCAUGUAACUGUUUGAUCUUUCCCUUACUGCUAGCAAGCCAGAAAAAUCCUGGCAUGGUCUUUCUUCCCAUUUCCUUCUUUUGGCAACAGAAUGUGAUGGAAAGGAGUAUAUCAGGUUUGCUUUUCUUUUUCCAGUCAUGUUCUGCAUCUCCAAGUAUAAAUGUUAUGAUGAAACUUGUUCUAUUUCUGCCAUUCUUUUAUUUACACUAUUUCCUCAGGAAAAACUACCAAACAGUUGUUUUCAUUGUGCUGGACUUCUGUCUUGUCUGAGUACUGGCAUCCUACUCUUCAAAAGCCACUAAUAACAUGAAGGCAAUAGCUCUUCAUUUAUGUUUCAUUGCCGUUAGAUUUGUAUUUUCCAGCACUCUCAGGAGGAUCCUAAGAGUACUGCUAAUCUGAUGAAGAAUUCUGUUCUUGCAACUGCUGUCUAGAGCAAACUACUUAAGGAUGACUUAUUAAAACAAUACAGUCUUUACUAAUUUUGCACUAUGUUUAGAUGUGAUGUUAAGCCUUCACAUUCCCAUCCUUGGUGGGGGCAUCUGGGAGAUGGGAGAAAAUCUGUUCUGGACACAAGUGGAUGUCUUGAAAUAUCUGUGGAAGGCUGAGGGGGAAAUAAAGUAUGAAAACCUGGAAAGAGAAUUUCAGCAGAGCAUCCAACUAAAGUUUGCUUCAGCUCAGGUCUCUGGGCAGCAAUCUUCAUGAUGGGCAGGAUGAGAAUCCAAAGCUUGAGGGACUCAUGUCUCCCUCCUAAGGAGUACUGGCUCAAUCUGGGACAUCAUAUAUCUGCAUAAGGUCUGGAAGUCUGGAAGAUAUCUUAUCUUGCUUCAAGGAUAUUUGGCUAAAUAGUCUGCCACAGGUUCUGUGCAGGCAAUUUGGCACUAGAUCUGGCAAGUUCUUCCUCUUCCAUUGAUUCAUGGCUGAAAUUGUUGCAUUCUCACAUAUGUUUUGAUUUAAAACAAGUUGCUGGUUUUCAGCAACAAUAAAAUAGUUCACUGAUAUAGGUCUUCCUUCGUUAUGUCCAAAACCACAGAAAUGGAAGCCACAUACUAAACUGCUAUUGUGUUCCAAGUAUUUUGUUUUUGCUGUUUGUUUUAAAAGGAGCUUCUACUAAUUGCCUCAUUGUUUUCUGCUCUGUUUUCUUUUUACCACUGUAAUAAAUACAGUGUACUCAAAUAUGUCUUUGGCAGCUCCUCCUGAAAGGAGAGGUAAUUACUGAAAGCUAGUUCUCCUAUACAUGCAGAACUUUAACACCAUACAGAUCUAUAAGACCUUAACAUCUCUCUUGUCUCAGGUGAAAAAUGAAUCCUAUUUGAUGAUUGACCUUCCUAGGAACAGGAACAUCACCAGAAAGACAGCAGAUCUAUUGGUUCCCAGCUGUUGCUAGGUAAAAAUCAUUAUUAGAGCACACAAGGGAAAACUAGCUGCACUGCUGAAGCUUAGUUCAAUGAACAUUCUUCUUAGAAAAAAAAUCCCUAGAAUAAUGUGAACAAAUCUGUAUAUAAUGUGAUUGCAUCUGUGGGCCUUUGAAUGGAGAGGGCUAUGGCUCAGAACUGAUAGGACUUAUGGAAAAAAUGAAGUCUAAACUGAGUGGUUUUUUUAUUUACUCCAUGUAGUUUGGAAAGGUGAAUAUAUGUUACAGAGUCAGAAGGUUUCUCCCUUGGUUAGUAAGCUGCUUGUUUUCUCAAAUCUUUCCUCAUGUACAAAUGAAGACAAAUAGAGACAGUGUGUGUUCAGUCUGCAUAAUGUAUUAAUUCAAUUAAUUACUUAAUUCUUCCUUAAAAGAGUAGCUUCUUAUUCUUACCAGGCUCUCAAGCUGCAGACAGAUUUUUGCAGGGAUGGGACUGUUGGGGCUGGGGCAGAAGUGGUGUAUGAUGGCAUGAAUCCCCUUGAGUAAUUCUGGCUGAAGUAAUGAGAUCAUGAUCUAGAACUUUAAGCAGUUCUUUUAGAUGAUAUGUAUUGCUCGAUGUGAUUGGACUGUGAGUUUCCAACUGCAGAAGAUUGAGGGGAACUUCUGAGCCUUAGCACCAUACCCCUUGCACUGUUUUUGAGUGGGGCAGCCUUUGGAAUAAGAUGAUGGUGUCACCCAACUUUCUCACCAAAAAGGUUCUAAAGGGUAUGCCCAAAUCUGUUGCAGCAUCUUCAAAGCACUACUGAGGUCUUGAGAAGGCAGCAAAUAAUCAUAUUCUGUUGUCGCUGUCCACACCUACUUCCUGCUCCCAGAAAAACAACUGAGUGGAAUAAUACUUCUCUAUCCUUUUUAAAGAAAGCUACUGCAGUUAAUAGCAUUUCUGAAACUGAGAGAAGAAAUAAACAUUUCUUGAAUGACUGUAAUUAAUGAGGAGAGAACAAGUGGGAAUUAAUAUUGCACUCCCACCCCUGUUAACACGAAAAUAAACACAUAACCCUCCUUUCUUAGCUCGUACUAAAUUCUGUUCUGUGGUGAAAUGCAAUAUAAAGCAGGAAUCUAGUAAGAGACUGUACUUGGCAAUCCAGUUCUAGGUUGUUUACUUCUUAUACGUUAUUGCUGCUUUUUGUCCUUAUUGAGACUUCAGUAUGUCAUCUGUAUUAUAUUUCCCAAGUUUGCUCUUUGGCAUGCCCAGCAGUUACUGCCACUUAGUUCUGUUCCUCUUCUUCCAAGCACAAAAGUUGAGGCUUUUGGUUAGCUAAGAAAGCCACAUCAUUUGUAGUCAUCUGAUGCUGUGGGUGCUGUGAUCGCCUGCUGGAUGACUUUGCAACAUAAGGACUUGCACAAGAGCGUUCUAUGAAAGGAGCAGGCAGAAAUUAUUCAUUUAUAUUCCAGUUGGAUAAAAUCCUCUAGUUAUUAUCAUACAGGAGAAUUAAUGUAGAUGUCUGUUGUUCACCAGAUACUGAGUCCUUAAAAUAAAUUUUCUAUCACUUCUUCUUACUUUGUAUUUUGUACUCUUUUUUUUUUUUCUUCCAAAAGACCAUUCAGGUGGUGAUCAAGAUUUACAGUAUUGUUCUGCUGCAAAGCUGGAGUGUAUAAUGAUGAGAAUUCAGAUAUGAGACUGCUGGUACGUGGACAAUAAACCUUUGUAGAUAAGACUAGGGAGGAAAAAACUAUUUUUAAUGAAAAUCAAUUAAUGUGAAUUUGGAGUUUUUGAUCAGUAAUUGUCCACAGAACUACUACAGUUUCUGAGAGUUUGUGUUUUGGAGGAAAAGGCUCUGUCCACUGGCAUUUAAUAGGCAUGUCUCUGUGAAUUACUUGAGUUAAGUUUUGUUUACUCCUUGGAUUUAUGCUCUAUGAGAUCAGUAAAUGUUGUCGAAAAGAAUCAGUGGAUAAAUGCUGAGGAUGUGACUUUAUUGUGAAGUUGAGAUAAGAUGUCUUUAAGUCAAUACAGCUUAAGAGAGAGAGGAUGCACGUGAAUUGCACUCGGUGGCUGCAUCCAUGUCAGUGCUGUGCUUGCCUUGUGUAUGUACAAGGCUGAGACUUCUGGAGCACUUACUGCUGCUGUAGUAGUAGUUCCAUUGGAGGGCUAGGGGAGGAACUGGAGAUGGAAAUGGGUAUUGCUGCAGGGUUACCUUCCACUCUGAAGUGUGAAUGUGCAAACGAGAAAUUUUUUGAGCUGGCCUGUUUAAAUUAAAUGUGCAGUGAAACGAACUUCUAUUAAUUUUCGAUAGCAGCCAAGUCCUUUUGGACAAGCUGCUCAUCAGUUUGUUCAGUACAGUGCAGACCAGGACUGCGUUUGUGCUCAACAGAAGCAUCAAAAGAGGCACCUGAAACUCAUCUUCAAAAACUAGGUUCAGCUUGAUUCAACCUUUGUGUCUAGUUCUCGUUCUUUAUUAAAACUUUAUUAGAACCUGUGAUUUUAGUGUUGUUCCCCUGGAAGUUUUGUUGUCACUGCCUGUGACUAAUUACUGUUCACUUACAGUCACAUGAUUUUUUCUAGAUUACAUGAAAGAUGCUUGCAUGAGUCCUCAGCUGCAAAAGUGAUUAGAAUAUUGUUAGUGAUAAAAACUGUUGGUUGUGGCACAGAUGCGUGUCCAUUCAACAGUUCUAGUCUGGAGGAAAUACCUGGAAGAGCCUCCCACUUGUCUGGGUAAACAUAGAUUUACUCCAAAGCUCUCUUUGUUCAGCAGCUCAUGCUCUGAAGACAGAGUUCAAGACUUGGAGAUCCCUGAACAAGGAUUUGAAAGCCACUGUGGGAUCUCUGCACUCAUCUGUUUCAUGAUGCUGCCUAUGGGAGCAUGCCGGAAAUAAUUUCCAUUUGAACAGUUGGCUUCUAGAGCACUGAAGUGUUGGAUAAUGGGAUUCUGGAGAGAGGAUGCAGUGAAAUAUCAGGAAAUAGGAAAGUUCCUAGAGUUUUGAGUGCUUUGAGAAGCUUUGUGGUUGCUGCUUCCUUAAAUACAAAGAGGUUGGGUUAUUGCUCACUGUGGAGGGUUGAACUAUGCGGCUAACUGGUGACUUGCUAUAUAUUUUUUUUCUUUUUAAUGCUUGUGUUGGCAAUAUAUUAAUGUUAUUUACUAAGGAGAAUAGAAGUAGCUGAAAUCACUUAGGUCACCAAGUUUAGUUCCUUCUGACUGCAGGCAGCCAGAAAAGAUGAUUUUGGUCCAGACAGAUUUUGCUUUACAAAAAGCAGAUCUGUCUGGACCAAAAGAUGAUUUUUUUUUUUGGUCAUCUUUUGAUGACCAAAAUCAUCUUUUGGUCCAGACAGAUCUGUUUCUCAGGCUUUACAAACACCCUGUCACAAACAGGGCACCUUCUAGUAAUGAGGGUUAAGAUUCAUCUCUGCCCAGAACCCAGCAGUUCAUAAGGAUUUCACAAUCUGUUAAUUCAAAUGUUAAUAAGAUUUCAACAUUGAAUUAUUUUAUUUAUAUAUGUGUAUAUAUAUAAAUUGCAUAUACAUGUGCUUAUAUAUAAGAACAAUGUCCUUUAUACAUUAAAAUAUGUAUAUAUUGUUU
ensembl:lncRNA